rnacentral:rRNA from 1 species
GACGAACGCUGGCGGCGUGCUUUAGGCAUGCAAGUCGAACGCGAAAGCCCCUUCGGGGGUGAGUAGAGUGGCGAACGGGUGAGUAGCACGUGGGUAACCUGCCCCUCGCAGGGGGAUAACCGGGGGAAAUCCCGGCUAAUACCCCGUACGCUUGCUGGGGCGCAUGCUCCGGCAAGGAAAGGUAGCUUCGGCCAUCCGGCGAGGGAGGGGCCCGCGGCCCAUUAGCUAGUUGGUGGGGUAACGGCCCACCAAGGCGACGAUGGGUAGCUGGCCUGAGAGGGUGGUCAGCCACACUGGGACUGAGACACGGCCCAGACUCCUACGGGAGGCAGCAGCCAGGAAUCUUGCGCAAUGGGCGAAAGCCUGACGCAGCAACGCCGCGUGGGCGAUGAAGGCCUUCGGGUCGUAAAGCCCUGUUGUCGGGGACGAAGGGCGAAGGGUUAAUAGCCCCUAGCCUGACGGUACCCGACGAGGAAGCCCCGGCUAACUACGUG